UUUACAGUAUAUGUGUGUUUACAGAAUGUAGUGAUAUGAAUGGAAUACAUAAGAAAUCAAAACAAAACAAAAAAAUCAAAACUAAAAGAAAAAAAAAUAAAGAACUGUAAGCAAAUAUGAUGAUUAUUUACAAAUAAAAGUCAAACUUCAAUUUUGCAAAGUGGAAUAAAUUUGAUUAAUUUAUCUAUAUUUUGUUGGUUUUUGGACAUCAGGAUUUCCGAAAAAAAUUAUGUGUUUUUCAUCUUCAAUUUCGUUGCAAGUUUCACAAAGAUUUGAGUCAGCAAUUCCAAUCCUGUGGAAAUAUUUUUUGGUGUAAGUAUGACCAGUGAGCAAUCGAUUAACAAUCUUUAUGUUUUCAGGUUUCAUGUUUGAUGAAAAGAACCAGGGCUGUUUAGCAGGCGCCGGGAGGAAUUGGUAGAAGAGUGACUCAAUGCGUUUCGACGCAUCUGUGACCGACAGACAGAAGUUGAUUGGUGAACCAACAUUUGCUGCAUGCUUCGCAAAAUAAUCGGCUGUUUCAUUGAUUGGUAUACCGACAUGGGAAGGUGUCCAAACAAACGAGAUUUUAUUUAAAUGCGAAUUAACUAUUUUGUUUAGAAUAUUGUACACAGUAAAAUUGUGAGAUGUGUUGUUUUUAAGCAGAAGACAAGCAUUUUUGCUGUCUGUAAAUAAAGCAGCUGUGCUGACACCGUCUUCGAUCAUCAAA